rnacentral:tRNA from 1 species
GGGUAUAGCUCAGUGGUAGAGCACAUGCUUAGCAAGCACGAAGUCCUGGGUCCUAGUACCUCCG